rnacentral:misc_RNA from 1 species
GAUGAAGAACGCAGCGAAAUGGGAUAAGUAAUGUGAAUUGCAGAAUUCAGUGAAUCAUCGAAUCUUUGAACGCACAUUGCGCCCGCCAGUAUUCUGGCGGGCAUGCCUGUUCGAGCGUCAUUUCAACCAUCAAGCCCCCGGCUUGUGUUGGGGACCUGCGGCUGCCGCAGGCCCUGAAAACCAGUGGCGGGCUCGCUAGUCACUCCGAGCGUAGUAAUACAUCUCGCUCAGGGCGUGCUGCGGGUUCCGGCCGUUAAAAAGCCUUAUUUACCCAAGGUUGACCUCGGAUCAGGCAGGAAGACCCGCUGAACUUAAGCAUAUCAAUAAGCGGAGGA